UAUCUGAUGGCACAUUAUUCUAGUCAAUUAAACUUACUAUGAAGGUGAACCUAAAAACUCACUAAAGAGCACAUCUGUGAAACUUCUUGUGUCUGCUUUCUGCGCCCAGCUUAGGGUGGAUGCUGGAAGGUAAGGUUAUUGGGCACUCAUAAUGGCAUAUGAAUCUGUUCCAAUCUCCGUGGAGACCUAACUUUGUAUUAUUACCUAAAAAUAAUAUGAACUAGGAUUGAACCUACUAUGUGGGGAAACUUACGAGUAGUGUAGCUUGUCUUGCGUGGUUAUAGGGAAUAUUUGAUCAGUUAGAUAAUUCCUAGCUAGACUUAUCUAAUAUUGCAACUUGAAACUAUAACUGCAAAAAAGAACUAAUAGUAAGAUAUUGCCAGGGGAAAUCCCCUAGAGUGACAUUUUUAUAGGAUUACAGUAUGUACUAAGUGGCAAUCAAGUCAUAUAUCUGGUGACAAUAUAUUGAUUUCUUUAAAGGGAAACCGCACGUUUGGUAACGAACUGUAGAAAUCAGGGAAACCCUACUUGACCUAAGACAUAAAGUUAACUGUAAAAAUAGCCAUUUUAUUGAAAU
rnacentral:sRNA from 1 species